GAUGAACGCUGGCGGCGUGCCUAAUACAUGCAAGUCGAGCGAACGGACGAGAAGCUUGCUUCUCUGAUGUUAGCGGCGGACGGGUGAGUAGCACGUGGAUAACCUACCUAUAAGACUGGGAUAACUUCGGGAAACCGGAGCUAAUACCGGAUAAUAUUUUGAACCGCAUGGUUCAAAAGUGAAAGACGGUCUUGCUGUCACUUAUAGAUGGAUCCGCGCUGCAUUAGCUAGUUGGUAAGGUAACGGCUUACCAAGGCAACGAUGCAUAGCCGACCUGAGAGGGUGAUCGGCCACACUGGAACUGAGGCACGGUCCAGACUCCUACGGGAGGCAGCAGUAGGGAAUCUUCCGCAAUGGGCGAAAGCCUGACGGAGCAACGCCGCGUGAGUGAUGAAGGUCUUCGGAUCGUAAAACUCUGUUAUUAGGGAAGAACAUAUGUGUAAGUAACUGUGCACAUCUUGACGGUACCUAAUCAGAAAGCCACGGCUAACUACGUG
rnacentral:rRNA from 1 species